AGAGUUUGAUCCUGGCUCAGGAUCAACGCUGGCGGCGUGCCUAAUGCAUGCAAGUCGCACGGACCUUCGGGUGAGUGGCAGACGGGUGAGGAACACGUGGGUAACCGACCCUCGAGUGGGGAAUAACCGCCCGAAAGGGUGGCUAAUACCGCAUACGCUCGCUUUCCGGACGAGGGAAGUGAGGAAAGCCGUAAGGCGCUGGAGGACGGGUCUGCGGCCGAUUAGCUUGUUGGUGGGGUAACGGCCUACCAAGGCGACGAUCGGUAGCCGGUCUGAGAGGACGGCCGGCCACACGGGGACUGGGACACGGCCCCGACUCCUACGGGAGGCAGCAGCAAGGAAUAUUGGGCAAUGGCCGAAAGGCUGACCCAGCGACGCCGCGUGGGGGAGGGAGGCCUUCGGGUUGUAAACCCCUUUUCUCAAGGAAGAAACUAGACGGUACUUGAGGAAUAAGCCCCGGCUAACUACGUGCCAGCAGCCGCGGUAAUACGUAGGGGGCGAGCGUUGUCCGGAAUUACUGGGCGUAAAGCGCGCGUAGGUGGCGCGUCAAGAUCGGCGUGAAAUCCCCGGGCUCACCUCGGGGGGGUCGUCGGUGACUGGCGUGCUUGGGUUCCGCAGAGGCAGGUAGAAUUCCCGGUGGAGCGGUGAAAUGCGUAGAGAUCGGGAGGAAUACCAGUGGCGAAGGCGGCCUGCUGGGCGGCAACCGACGCUGAGGCGCGAAAGCGUGGGGAGCGAACCGGAUUAGAUACCCGGGUAGUCCACGCCCUAAACGAUGGGUACUAGGCGUGGGGGGUAUCGACCCCCUCCGUGCCGGAGCUAACGCGGUAAGUACCCCGCCUGGGGAGUACGGCCGCAAGGUUGAAACACAAAGGAAUUGACGGGGGCCCGCACAAGCAGCGGAGCGUGUGGUUUAAUUCGACGCAACGCGCAGAACCUUACCAGGGCUUGAAACGCACCUUACAAUCGUCGAAAGGCGAUGUCCGCAAGGAGUGGUGUACAGAUGCUGCAUGGCUGUCGUCAGCUCGUGCCGUGAGGUGUCGGGUUAAGUCCCGCAACGAGCGCAACCCCUGUCGCUAGUUGGUUGUCUAGCGAGACUGCCCCCGCAAGGGGGAGGAAGGCGGGGAUGACGUCAAGUCAGCACGGCUCUUACGUCCUGGGCUACACACACGCUACAAUGGAUGCGACAGAGGGCUGCGAACCCGCGAGGGGGAGCUAAUCCCAGAAAGGCAUCCUCAGUUGGGAUUGCAGGCUGCAACUCGCCUGCAUGAACGUGGAGUUGCUAGUAACCGCAGGUCAGCACUACUGCGGUGAAUACGUUCCCGGGCCUUGUACACACCGCCCGUCAUGUCAUGAAAGUUGGCAACACCUGAAGUCGCUGGGCUAACCCUUUGGGGAGGCAGGCGCCGAGGGUGGGGCUGAUGAUUGGGACGAAGUCGAAACAAGGUA
rnacentral:rRNA from 1 species